rnacentral:lncRNA from 1 species
CUCACAUUCUCUUUUUUAAAAUCUCUUCUUCUAUCUUGUUUUCUGGAAUGUACAUGCUGCCUUGAAUAAUGAAGACAAAGAGAGAGAGCUGGAAGUAUUUGGAAGCUCUAAACUACUUUUCCACUGCUGAACUAUAAUGUUUCUGACAUUUAUACAGGUGGAGUAAUUUGUAGAAGCAACUGAAUGGAGCAGAUGAUGGUACAGUUUGAGGGUAUGGAAAAUGGUCUGAGAAGACCAGGCUGGAAGAUGGAGGGAGCAGAAGGAGACAGAAUCCUGAAUGAGGUAUAUUCGGAGGAAUGAAGAAGGAUUCUUUCUAUUACCUUUAUCCAUUUCCUAGACAUCUAAGUGAGUAUUUUCAAUAUCUUAGGACUUAAGCUAUUCACCUAGCUUAACACAAUCGUUACGUUAGCUUCUUUGAAAUAAUAUCUUUAGCUUACCUCAGAUGAAAAGAUUUCAACCUCAGAUGAAAAGAUUUCAAAGUAAAGAUACAUUAGACCAUAAAAAAUAUCAGAAAAUUCAAAGACAAUGAAAACCUACAUUCAGUAGCAACCAGGAUCUAACAGGACAUCUAGUGGUUGGAUAGCAGCUCUCGUAACCCAUUAGCUUUUCUGGCAGUUGGUCUUAAAGGAUGGAAUUUCAGCAGAUGUUACUGAGAUGCAGAAUGUAUUCCAAGAGUUAUGGAGUACUGAAUUGUUAAACCGAGCCCAUCCUGAAGGGCUCUGUAAUCAUUUAGUGAUGGUGCACAGCUAAUUAC